UACUUGGUUGAUCCUGCCAAGGAAGCACACUUAGGUCAUAGAUUAAGCCAUGCAAGUGUUAGUUCAGGUAACGAAACUGCGAAUAGCUCAUUAAUACGCUCAGAAUCUAUUUGGCGGCGACCAACAGGUCUUAAAUGGAUAGCAGCAGCAACUCUGGUGCUAAUACAUGCGAUUGUUUCUCCAGAUGUGAAUUAUGGAGGAAAAGUUGACCUCAUCAGAGGCACGCCAUUCGACUGAGUGACCUAUCAGCUUGUACUUAGGGUCUUUACCUAGGUAGGCUAUCACGGGUAACGGGCGGUUACCGUCGGACUGCCGGAGAAGGCGCCUGAGAGAUAGCGACUAUAUCCACGGGUAGCAGCAGGCGCGAAACUUUCCCACUCGAGACUUUCGGAGGAGGUAAUGACCAGUUCCAUUGGUGCCUUUUGGUACUGUGGAUAGGGGUACGGUUUUCCACCGUACCGAAACCUAGCAGAGGGCCAGUCUGGUGCCAGCAGCUGCGGUAAUUCCAGCUCUGCGAGUUUGCUCCCAUAUUGUUGCAGUUAAAACGCCCGUAGUCUGAAUUGGCCAGCAAUGGUCGUACGUAUUUUUACGUUCACUGUGAACAAAUCAGGACGCUUAGAGUAUGGCCACAUGAAUGACUCAGCGCAGUAUGAAGUCUUUGUUUUCUUCCGAAAACAAGCUCAAUGAGAGCCAUCGGGGGUAGAUCUAUCUCAUGACGAGUGGUGGAAUACUUUGACUCAUGAGAGAGAAGCUGAGGCGAAGGCGUCUACCUAGAGGGUUUCUGUCGAUCAAGGGCGAGAGUAGGAGUAUCCAACAGGAUUAGAGACCCUGGUAGUUCCUACCUUAAACGAUGCCGACAGGAGUUUGUCAUUUGUUAAUGGCAGAAUCUUUGGAGAAAUCAUAGUUCUUGGGCUCUGGGGGAACUACGACCGCAAGGCUGAAACUUGAAGGAAUUGACGGAAGGGCACACCAGG
rnacentral:ncRNA from 2 species